CCAUCUCUCAUGGGUUGGGAUUACAGGUGCACACACCAAGACUGGCCAUACGUGCAUUUCUGAGGGCAACAUGGCUGCUGCCACAGGGAACUUCUGAGACACACAGGCUCAAGCCCCUCCCCUGGCUUCACAGAUCAGAACCUUCCCUCGGAGAAGUUCCUGGUCAUCUGUGGACUUGUUAUCUUUGAAGAGACACUGCCCUGAGCACCAAGAACCAUGUCACAGGUGCACUUAAUAUCGAAGAUUUAUUGUCCUUAUUUAUAAUUGAAGAACA